CCUACGGGAGGCUGCAGUGGGGAAUAUUGGACAAUGGGGGGAACCCUGAUCCAGCCAUGCCGCGUGUGUGAAGAAGGCCCUCGGGUUGUAAAGCACUUUCAGUGAGGAAGAACGCCUGGUGGUUAAUACCCAUCAGGAAAGACAUCACUCACAGAAGAAGCACCGGCUAACUCCGUGCCAGCAGCCGCGGUAAUACGGAGGGUGCGAGCGUUAAUCGGAAUUACUGGGCGUAAAGCGCGCGUAGGUGGCUUGAUAAGCCGGUUGUGAAAGCCCCGGGCUCAACCUGGGAACGGCAUCCGGAACUGUCAAGCUAGAGUGCAGGAGAGGAAGGUAGAAUUCCCGGUGUAGCGGUGAAAUGCGUAGAGAUCGGGAGGAAUACCAGUGGCGAAGGCGGCCUUCUGGACUGACACUGACACUGUGGUGCGAAAGCGUGGGUAGCAAACAGGAUUAGAUACCCUGGUAGUC
rnacentral:rRNA from 1 species